rnacentral:rRNA from 1 species
CGGCGACUUGUAGGCAGUGGCAGGUUAAGGUAAUACCGGAGCCAUAGUGUAAGCGAGCCUUAAUAGGGCGUAGUCACUGUUUACAGACCCGAACCCGGAUGAUCUAACCAUGGCCAGUGUGAAACUUGGGUAAUGCUAAGUGGAGGUACGAACCGACUGAUGUUGAAAAAUCAGCGGAUGAGUUGUGGUUAGGGGUGAAAUGCCAAUCGAAUCCGGAGCUAGCUGGUUCUCCCCGAAAUGUGUUUAGGCACAGCGGUUAAUGUUUAAGUUCAGGGGUAAAGCACUGUUUCGGUGCGGGCUGCUAACGCGGUACCAAAUCGUGGCAAACUAAGAAUACUGAAUAUUUAUAGUUAACCAGUCAGACUAUGGGGGAUAAGCUUCAUUGUCAAGAGGGAAACAGCCCAGACUACUAGCUAAGGCCCCUAAAUUGUGACUAAGUGAUAAAGGAGGUGGGAUUUCUAUAACAACCAGGAGGUUUGCUUAGAAGCAGCAAUCCUUUAAAGAGUGCGUAAUAGCUCACUGUUCGAGUGAUCCUGCGCCGAAAAUGUACGGGGCUAAGUCAUAUGCCGAAGCUGUAGGAUAUAAUAAUGUAUCGGUAGGGGAGCGUUCUAUGCUGAUUUGAAGCACUAACGUAAGUGGGUGUGGAUUGGAUAGAAGUGAGAAUGUUGGCUUGAGUAGCGAAAAUAUUGGUGAGAAUCCAAUAUCCCGUAAACCUAAGGGUUCCUCCGGAAGGCUCGUCCACGGGGGGUUAGUCAGGUCCUAAGCCGAGGCGGAAAAGCGUAGGUGAUGGAUAACAGGUUAAUAUUCCUGUACUUUUUGUUGCUGAUAUAGAGGGACGGAGAAGGCUAGGUUCGCCGAAUGUUGGUUAUCGGUCUAAGUGUUCAAGGCUUUGAGAGACGGUGAAAACGUUUUGAGCUAAGGCAUGAUGGGUAGGUGUAGUAAUUACGCUGAAUGAGUCGACGUCAGGCUUCCAAGAAAAGCUUUUAAUAUCUUAAGCAACAAAAACCUGUACCCGAAACCGACACAGGUAGGUAGGUAGAGUAUACCAAGGGACGCGAGAUAACUCUCUCUAAGGAACUCGGCAAAAUGACCUCGUAACUUCGGAAGAAGAGGUACCCUGCAAAGGGUUGCAAAAGCCAGGCCCAGGCGACUGUUUACCAAAAACACAGGUCUCCGCUAAGUCGUAAGACGACGUAUGGGGGCUGACGCCUGCCCAGUGCCGGAAGGUUUAAGGAGUUGGUUAUUCUUUGAAGAAGCUGAUGACUAAAGCCCCGGUGAACGGCGGCCGUAACUAUAACGGUCCUAAGGUAGCGAAAUUCCUUGUCGGGUAAGUUCCGACCUGCACGAAUGGCGUAACGACUUCCCCACUGUCUCGACCAG